ensembl:miRNA
AAGACUGAGAGGAGGGAACUGGUGAGUUUUAAAUAGAAAUGCUUUCUAACUCCUUGUCUCCGUCUGUUU